rnacentral:miRNA from 1 species
UGGGUCUUUGCGGGCGAGGUG